rnacentral:rRNA from 1 species
AAUGAACGCUAGCUACAGGCUUAACACAUGCAAGUCGAGGGGUCUCGAGGAAGCUUGCUUUCGAGAGACGACCGGCGCACGGGUGAGUAACGCGUAUCCAACCUGCCCUUCAUAUUGGGAUAGCCUUCCGAAAGGAAGAUUAAUACCGAAUAACAUAGCGAGAUUGCCUGAUUUCUCUAUGAAAGCUCCGGCGAUGAAGGAUGGGGAUGCGUUCCAUUAGGUAGUAGGCGGGGUAACGGCCCACCUAGCCGACGAUGGAUAGGGGUUCUGAGAGGAAGGUCCCCCACACUGGAACUGAGACACGGUCCAGACUCCUACGGGAGGCAGCAGUGAGGAAUAUUGGUCAAUGGGCGCAAGCCUGAACCAGCCAAGUAGCGUGAAGGAAGACUGCCCUAUGGGUUGUGAACUUCUUUUAUACGGGAACAAACCCUGGUACGUGUACCAGAUUGCGUGUACCGUAUGAAUAAGCAUCGGCUAACUCCGUGCCAGCCGCCGCAGUAACAC